AUCGCUUCUCGGCCUUUUGGCUAAGAUCAAGUGUAGUAUCAAGUGUAAAAGUCCAACAUUU
ensembl:snRNA Rnu2-7 RNA, U2 small nuclear 7